UACGUAGGGUGCAAGCGUUGUCCGGAAUUAUUGGGCGUAAAGAGCUCGUAGGCGGUCUGUCGCGUCGGCGUGUAGCGAAAACCUGGGGCCUUAACUCCGGGCUUGGCAGCCGAUACGGGCAGACUAGAGUUCGGCAGGGGGAGACUGGAAUUCCUGGUGUAGCGGUGAAAUGCGCAGAUAUCAGGAGGAACACCGGUGGCGAAGGCGGGUCUCUGGGCCGAAACUGACGCUGAGGAGCGAAAGCGUGGGGAGCAAACAGG
rnacentral:rRNA from 1 species